AAAACAUUAUAACAAAACUAGUACACAAAAAUAAAGAAGACUAUAUUAAACGAUAAAAUGAUUAAAUUAUUUUAGACUAUAUCAGAACCAAUUGUAUCCAUUAUAUAUGUCAAAUGCCUGGAUAUACACAAAACAAACUUUUAAAAAGCGAAACUACAAAACAAAAACCAUUCAUUGUUGUACCGAUCAAGAACACUCACUGACUUCUACGUUAUUUUCUUCGGCUUCUUUAUCUUAUCAUACACAUGCAUCUAUUGCAUAUCCCAAAAUUGUAGAUUUUCCAGAUAUUCUGUAAAGUAAAAUGAACGAAUAAUAUUAUCAAUCACCAAAAGAAAAACAUGAAGACAAACUAGAAAAUAUCAUAGUGCCCAAUGAAGACCAUACUUAAAUGUCUCAUUUUGUAUGCUUCAUCAUCCUCUUUGGCAUCCAAAUCUGAGCAAUAUUGUUAACAUUAAGAUCUUGAGAUCUUAGAGAAUAAACAGUGGAUGAAGCCAAAGAGAGAACUUUGCCAUGUGGGAUGCAUGAUCCUCUUUAGAUCCUGACAUCUUCAGAACAUAAAUAAGAUAAAUGAAUUUGAAACCACAAGAAACACGAACAAGUUAAGCAUUCACAAUCCAU
rnacentral:lncRNA from 1 species